AACUCUUGAUUUGUUGCACGCAGUUAACUCCCUUUGAUUGAUGGCACUGUGUGGAGUUCUAAAUAAGGCACUGUGUGGAGCAGACAAGGGAGUUAACUCAUGUACAAAGCAUAUACCAUGGAUUACUUCCCUUUGACCACAAAAUACCCAUCUGUUCGUGUGCGACGAUUUCUUCUAAAAGGAAAGGACAAACACAAAGGAGGACCAACAUCAUAAAGUGCAUGUUGAGUGAUAGUUCACGUGACUGAACCAGCUUAGUGACAUUGAUAAUAUCGGAAGAGUAAGCAAUGGUAUCACUCAAUGAUGCCGUGCCGUUGAUGGUCAAGGGGAAAUAACUGCAAACCCGUUUUACCAUUUGCGAAACACAUUUCGCUCUCUUUAGUACAAGGGACAUAACCUGUGAAUUGUUGAACGUGGUUAACUCCCUUUGCUGGUGAGGGGUGUGUGAAGUGUUCAAAAAUUACAUUGUGCGCAGUUAAGAAACAACCCUGCGUCAUUGAAGUAUCUGUUUUGGUCUGGCAGGUCACAUGAACACCAUUUCACAGUCACAUCCUGUCAACUGUGAUCUACCUUGUAGUUGGUUGCCUGUUUAACUCCGCAUUCAACAAUAUUUCAGCUAUAUGGCGGCGGUCUGUCAAUAAUCGAGUCUGAACCAGACAAUCCAGUGAUCAACAGCAUGAAAUAAAAGGAAAAAGGAAAGGACUAACACAAAGGAGGACCAACAUCAUAAAGUGCAUGUUGAGUGAUAGUUCACGAGACUGAACCCGCUUAGUAGCAUCGAUAAUAUCGGAAGAGUAAGCAACGGUAUCACUGGGAUGCCGUGCCGCAUUCGUCACCACUCGCCCCUUUCCGUAAACUCCAAGAAGAGUACAUCCAUCCCAUAAUUCACACGCAUAUUCAAAAUGAGGACGAAUAAAAACAGUGUAGAUCUUA